rnacentral:rRNA from 1 species
GAUGAAUGCUGGCGGCGUGCCUAACACAUGCCAGUCGAGCGGCAGCGAGGGGUGCUUGCACCCUUUCGGCGAGCGGCGAACGGCUGAGUAACGCGUAGGAAUUUGCCCCAAAGUGAGGAAUAACUGCCCGAAAGGGUAGCUAAUGCCGCAUAUGGUCUUCGGAUUAAAGGAUUUAUCCGCUUUGGGAGAAGCCUGCGUUGGAUUAGGUUGUUGGUAGGGUAAUGGCCUACCAAGCCGACGAUCCAUAGCUGGUCUGAGAGGAUGAUCAGCCAGACUGGAACUGAGACACGGUCCAGAUUCCUACGGGAGGCAGCAGUGAGGAAUCUUCCACAAUGGGCGAAAGCCUGAUGGAGCAACGCCGCGUGAAGGAUGAAGGCCUUCGGGUUGUAAACUUCUUUUAUGAGUGAAGAAUAUGACGGUAACUCAUGAAUAAGCACCGGCUAACUACGUG